rnacentral:rRNA from 1 species
UACGUAGGGAGCAAGCGUUGUCCGGAAUCAUUGGGCGUAAAGCGCACGUAGGCGGCCCUGUAAGUCCGCUGUGAAAGUCAAAGGCUCAACCUUUGAAAGCCGAUGGAUACUGCAGGGCUAGAGUCCGGAAGAGGCGAGUGGAAUUCCUGGUGUAGCGGUGGAAUGCGCAGAUAUCAGGAGGAACACCAAUAGCGAAGGCAGCUCGCUGGGACGGUACUGACGCUAAGGCGCGAAAGCGUGGGGAGCGAACAGG